rnacentral:rRNA from 1 species
UACGGGGGGAGCAAGCGUUGUUCGGAUUUACUGGGCGUAAAGGGCGCGUAGGCGGCGCAACAAGUCACUUGUGAAAUCUCCGGGCUUAACCCGGAGCGGCCAAGUGAUACUGUCGUGCUAGAGUGCGGAAGGGGCAACUGGAAUUCUCGGUGUAGCGGUGAAAUGCGUAGAUAUCGAGAGGAACACCUGCGGCGAAGGCGGGUUGCUGGGCUGACACUGACGCUGAAGUGCGAAAGCUAGGGGAGCGAACGGG